AUCAGCUUUGACUGUCGAGCCCAGCCCAGCUAGCUGCUAGCACUUAUAUAACUCUUGCAUCGUUCGAAGUUUCCACCGGCUGCUUUAUAAAGUCUCCCUGUUUAUUUGAUUGCUUCUUUCGUUUAAAUACUUGUCCCUGUACCUACACGAAUACCGAUGGCUAUAGUAUUUUUGUAGCAUUAUUACAAGAGGAUGAAGAGAUUUUGUUCGGAUUAUCGCCCGCACAGCAAAUUCAAAUUUAAAAAAAGUUAAACGGCAUCUAGUGACUGCGAUUACAAUUUACAAGCCAGAAAUGAUUUUUCAGCGUCGUCUGCAACUAACACGUGCAAAUGGUUCGGACCGAACAGAAUCAGAUCGUCACCUAAUCGGCUAAUCCCACAAAAAGAAAAGAAUCAAAUCGUCCUUCGGUCAGUGCUUCAGUGGUGACUUAGUUCGUGGAUGUCUGUUAUUUUAUUGGCUUGUUUUUUUAAAUAUUUACCUGAUCAAGAAACUGUUUGGUGGUAUCUCAUAAAUUGAAAGAAAAUGUCAGGUGGUGUUGAGAGGAGAGGAACAAUUUCCUCUUGUUACGUUGGUACUGAUUCCUAGAGUCCAACGUUAUUUGAUAGAGAACAGUCACAGAACAUAGAUAUGCCUAUGGAGGAAAUGACUGAUUUACUUGAAAGGCAAUAUGCUGACUAUGGAAGGAAGAAGAAUAUUUCUUUUCGAAAUUCUGUUAAGUAAUUAUAUGAAGACAUAACAAUAAUCCUGGGAGCCAAGCUAGGACGCCAAGGAUGAUGUCAGUGAUUCAUAUCCUUAUGAAACUGCUAGAAUAGCUGACACUCUUGAAAGUAGGGAAACUGCUAAUGUAUCCUUAUGAAGUAUGCACUCCAACAAUACAGCAGAAUAUUCACAUAAUGAUAAUUGACAUAAUGGUGAUUGAUGUGCAUGGUGAACAAGGUAUGGCACCAUUACAAAGUACACCAAUAAAAAAAAAUUUUAAACUGUUUUGCCCUAAAUCAGUCAAGUACUUCAAAUUUUACUUUUGUAUUGCAGUUACAGAAAGUUAUUGUAAAAAGAAAAGAAAUUUGAUCCAGAAGCCCCAGGUGAAACCAAGAAAAAAUCUCAUGUGUUCCAAUCUGUCAUUUCUACUAGGAAGUUAUCAGAAGUUGGUGGCCAAUGAACAUCCCUCAUAGAAGUGCGAGAGCAGAUUAUUCACAUGAAGCAUCCAGAAUUUUACCAACAUUUGAGCCAGAGGAUUUUUCUUCACGGUCCAGGGCUCCAGGCUUGCGGUUAAACGUUAUUGGUUUCAUGUUAUCACUGGUUUGCCGCUCCAUAGCUGGAAUCUGGUGAGUAUGGAGAAAAUCUGUUUCGUGUUUGAACAAGCGACGUUUUCGGCUCCGUGUGUAAUUAAUUGACGAAAUUGACGCCUUAACGCCCAAAAGAGAAACGGCUUAACGAGAGAUGGAUCGAAUGAUAGUUGCCCUAACCUGCAUUGAUGAUAUUGGCAGUCGAGACAGAAAUAUUCAGGUGCUGGUGGUUGUUGCUGCCAACAGACCAGACGCCUUAAAUCUGUCUUAAGAAGAGCUGGCCACUUCGACCGAGAAAUAUCACUUGGAAUACCAGACCUCGCCGCAGGAGAGAAGAUUCCUCAAUCGAUCGUGUGCUUUGAAUAUGGAAGUUCUUGUCUUUGAAUAGAUCGGAAUACGUAGCAGAGGAUAGGCGUCCGAGCUGACAUGAUAUCUGUGAAUAGGGCUUUUGAACGGAUGGAGUCCAUUUCUUUUGGUACUUAAGGGAUAAUUUCGAAUUGGCAACACCUUACCCAGUUCCAGUUUUACAUUGCCGACAUGCCGAGCCAAGAGCCAGAGACAUUGUUCUCCAGUACUGUUCGAAAUCUUUGUAGGCUGAUGGCUUCACGGUAAUUUCCACCGGCUGCUUCACAGAAUCUCCAAGUUUUCUUUAUUGAUCUUACGUUUCAACACCUGCCCUUGGACCUACACUGACGUUCACCAGGAUUUGAUUGCAUACUCAUGCUGAUUGUAUUUGAUGCCAAGAAAGCUUUAAUGGUUAAAGGAAAGGCUCCUCAUCCGUGUAAGUAUUCAUGUUUGGCAACUGCCGAUCUAAAUGGUGCUGUUUUGUUCAUUCCUGUCUGAAGAUACGUAGCCUGCACUUAAUUUUUACAAUCAGGUGUGAAUUGUUUGUCUAUGUUUGAAGGUGAAGGUUUUUUUUUAAGUCUGAAGAGUGUUUGAAGAUAUCUAGUAGUCAGCUAUUGACCAAAGAAGGGGAUUCAAUAUUAUCGAUGAACAGAUUUAAAUUAUAUAGCAGUUCUAACUUGAGUUGCACUAUCUAUGUUACCUGAAAUUUGUGGCAAUUGACCAAUUGUAUUUAAUUUUAAAUAAGUGAGUAAUGAAAUAUACAAAAUAAAAGUGAUA